rnacentral:lncRNA from 1 species
CGACAGAGCGAGACUCCGUCUCAAAAAAAGAAAAAAAGAAAUGCUUUUAGCGCACUUAGAGCAUUUAGAGCAAUGGGAUGAUUAAUUCCAUUUUCCAUUUCGGGCCUCAUCUCAAGUAUUUUUAUUUCUUUCUCUUCCUCACCUUCCUGCCACCAUUUGUGGUGGCAAAUGUGACAUUUCACAUUUACACCAUUGUCCAGUUUCUCUAACAGCUUGACUUUCUGUGCUAUAAACAUAAACACUUCCCCUUUAUCCCCUUUAACAAACUGCUGUCUCUCUAGGGGUAUCUGCAGGCCUCUUUGACAUUUUCAACAUUAACUUUAAGCUACUGAGCAAAAAAUGAGCAAAAAACCCAGUCAGGGCUAGAGUGUAAUCAUGACGAAUAAACUGGGGGUUUCAUGAUAUUUCUGACACCUGUUUGACUACAGAGACACUGAACUGUCCUCUGCCAGGUCCAGCCUGGGCUCUAGAGCCUGCGUCUGAGGCCCCUGCCCCACUCGUUGGGAGCAGCUCCAGGGCUCCCCCACCUCCCUUCCCUCUCCUGUUUCAAAAGUAUUGACUUUGAGGAUCAGAAAUGGUCCUAACUGUUGCUUUUUCAUUUUAACUAAAACUCUCAAAUUUAGAGUGUUUUUCCCUUUUCAAUACACCUUUUUA